UAAAUUUAGAGUUUGAUCCUGGCUCAGGACGAACGCUGGCGGCGUGCUUAACACAUGCAAGUCGAGCGAUGAAGCUUCCUUCGGGAAGUGAAUUAGCGGCGGACGGGUGAGUAACACGUGGGUAACCUGCCUCAAAGUGGGGGAUAGCCUUCCGAAAGGAAGAUUAAUACCGCAUAAUAUGAGAGAAUCGCAUGAUUUUCUUAUCAAAGAUUUAUUGCUUUGAGAUGGACCCGCGGCGCAUUAGCUAGUUGGUAAGGUAACGGCUUACCAAGGCAACGAUGCGUAGCCGACCUGAGAGGGUGAUCGGCCACAUUGGAACUGAGACACGGUCCAGACUCCUACGGGAGGCAGCAGUGGGGAAUAUUGCGCAAUGGGGGAAACCCUGACGCAGCAACGCCGCGUGGGUGAUGAAGGUCUUCGGAUUGUAAAGCCCUGUUUUCUAGGACGAUAAUGACGGUACUAGAGGAGGAAGCCACGGCUAACUACGUGCCAGCAGCCGCGGUAAUACGUAGGUGGCGAGCGUUGUCCGGAUUUACUGGGCGUAAAGGGUGCGUAGGCGGAUGUUUAAGUGGGAUGUGAAAUCCCCGGGCUUAACCUGGGGGCUGCAUUCCAAACUGGAUAUCUAGAGUGCAGGAGAGGAAAGCGGAAUUCCUAGUGUAGCGGUGAAAUGCGUAGAGAUUAGGAAGAACACCAGUGGCGAAGGCGGCUUUCUGGACUGUAACUGACGCUGAGGCACGAAAGCGUGGGUAGCAAACAGGAUUAGAUACCCUGGUAGUCCACGCCGUAAACGAUGGAUACUAGGUGUAGGGGGUAUCAACUCCCCCUGUGCCGCAGUUAACACAAUAAGUAUCCCGCCUGGGGAGUACGGUCGCAAGAUUAAAACUCAAAGGAAUUGACGGGGGCCCGCACAAGCAGCGGAGCAUGUGGUUUAAUUCGAAGCAACGCGAAGAACCUUACCUGGACUUGACAUCCCUUGCAUAGCCUAGAGAUAGGUGAAGCCCUUCGGGGCAAGGAGACAGGUGGUGCAUGGUUGUCGUCAGCUCGUGUCGUGAGAUGUUAGGUUAAGUCCUGCAACGAGCGCAACCCUUGUUAUUAGUUGCUACCAUUAAGUUGAGCACUCUAAUGAGACUGCCUGGGUAACCAGGAGGAAGGUGGGGAUGACGUCAAAUCAUCAUGCCCCUUAUGUCCAGGGCUACACACGUGCUACAAUGGUAGGUACAAUAAGACGCAAGACCGUGAGGUGGAGCAAAACUUAUAAAACCUAUCUCAGUUCGGAUUGUAGGCUGCAACUCGCCUACAUGAAGCUGGAGUUGCUAGUAAUCGCGAAUCAGAAUGUCGCGGUGAAUACGUUCCCGGGCCUUGUACACACCGCCCGUCACACCAUGAGAGCUGGUAACACCCGAAGUCCGUGAGGUAACCGUAAGGAACCAGCGGCCGAAGGUGGGAUUAGUGAUUGGGGUGAAGUCGUAACAAGGUAGCCGUAGGAGAACCUGCGGCUGGAUCACCUCCUUU
rnacentral:rRNA from 2 species